rnacentral:rRNA from 1 species
AGGGUGUAGACGCUGCAGACUUGGUGUUGGAAGUCCUUUGGGGGCAUUCAGUGCCGGAGAGAAGUUGUUAAGUCUGCUACUUGGGGAGUACGUCCGCAAGGAUGAAACUUAAAGGAAUUGGCGGGGGAGCACCGCAACGGGAGGAGCGUGCGGUUUAAUUGGAUUCAACACCGUAAAACUCACCAGGGAAGACUGUUACAUGAAAGCCGAGAUGAAGACUCUGCUAGAUUUUCAGAGAGGUGGUGCAUGGCGUCAGUGACU